AACAUUCUCUUACCCAGGCUCCUAUCACCAAUGCUUGCCUCUCCCCUUAUUCUCCACCUGCAUGCCUUCCCUUCCUCCACAAUCUCCUGCCUCUUUUCUUCUUAUGAGGUUUAUUACAAUUCAUGUUAGUUUUUUAAAGUCAUGCAUUCAUUGUAUAUCUACUGUAAGAAAAAAAAUUAGAAAUACAGAAAAACAAAAAAGUGCCCAAUAAGGUAAAACAAAGACAAAUGCUUGAAUCAUAAUUCUACUACCCAGAAAUAGCUGUUAUUGGCAUUUGUAAUAUUGAUACAACAUUGAGUUGCUCCUGUUUUACUGAACAUGUGAAAGAGAAAACACAGCUUGGUGAUAACUACACAAAGAUAUGAGGCAGAAGGAUAUAAAAAAAAACUUGGAGAAUAUGCCAGUAUCCAGAAUUCACUUAAUUUUUAUUCCAGCACAAAAAACAGAAGACUGGGAAUUUUUGUUGGAGGAUGAUGAAAGAUGUCUACUGGCUGGAUGAACAAGAAGUGGUCAAGGGCAAAUUAAGCAGGAGUGGAAUAAGAAAAGAUUUUGCACCUGUGAUCCCAGCUACUGGGUAGGCUGAGGUGGGAAGAUUGAUUGAGUCCGGGAAGUGGAGGUCGCAGUGAACUGAAAUUACCCCACUGCACUUCAGCCUGGGCAACAGAGCCACACCCUGUCUCAAAAAAAAAGAAGAGAUUUUGAUGGGAAAGACACAUCUCUCAUCAUAUAUUCAAAAAUAUCCUUAUGUGAAUGACAUAUGACACCCCAUUCUGUAUCCUCAAGGAAUUAACAACUAGUUUAAAGAGAAAUUGUUUAAGAAAACAAACCUGAAAUUAUGGUAGCAAAAGAAAACAUGAACUCAAAAGCUUAGUGGUUUGUCAAGGAUUCAAUGUAAGAUUAUUAAGAAGUUCAAAGAAGAGUUCAGUAUCAGGGAAGGCUCUAAAGAUUAUACAGUAACUUGAUUAGGAAAAAAAAUAAAAGGGCAUGAUGUAGAUGUGGAUAAUCAGUACUUGCAAAAGCAAAAAUAAAUAAAUAAAAAGGAAGGAAGGAAGGAAGGAAGGAAGAGUAUUUAUGGAAAAUCCUGAAAAUCCAGUGCUUUAGUUGGGAACAGUAGAAAAUAAGAACAG